rnacentral:rRNA from 1 species
AUGCAGAAGUCGCGGAGAGACCUCAUGAAGAGGAAGGCGGCGGCCAAGGCGCACGAGCAGGGCGCGGGCGCGGCCGCCGGGAUGAGGCGGCGGCGGCUGUACGGCUUCUCCGCCUCGCUCGUCGUCGCGUCCUGGGCCGCGCUCCUCAUCCUCAACUCGCUCGUCGGCCACGGCGACGGUCAACGCGGUACGCAUGAUGGUGGAGACCCGAUUGUUGCCAUUCCCAUUGCUGGGCCUGGGCCUACAAUGAAUGAAGGUUCUGUUGGUCCUGAUGUUGUACACCAGGAGCACGAGGAGAAUUUGGCGGUGUCUGGUGACACAUGUGUUAAACUUGAUGAAAGUGUCUUGCUUUCAGAAGAGACAGUUCUGCAGGAAGAUGAAGUGUGUUCCAAGGAUGAUGCUGGAAGUGAUGACAUGGAAGCUGUAACCAAGGAUGAUCAAAUUGAUCUGUCAGAAGGCCAGGGCGAAGAACAAACUGUAACCAAGGAUGGUAAAAUUGACCUGUCAGAAGGUCAGGGUGAGGAAGGUGCUCUGACCAAGGAUGAUCAAAUUGACCUGUCAGUAGGUCAGGGUGCGGAAGAAGCUCAAACAAAUGAUGAUCAAAUUGAGCAGUCAGGAGGUCAGGGUGAGAGUCCUCAUCUGACAAACAUCGCCUCUGUAGUUCAUCCAGCGGAGAAGGUGGAUGUUGAAGAUGUUCCCAAACCAGCAAGGUUGGCACGAGUUGUUCCUCCGGGUCUUGAUGAAUUUAAGACGAGAGCAAUUGCUGAAAGGGGAAAGGAUGCCUCUAGUCAAACUGGCCAUGUGAUUCACCGAAGGGAACCUAGUGGUCAGUUGUACAAUUAUGCUUCGGCAGCUAAAGGGGCAAAGGUUCUGGAUUAUAACAAGGAGGCCAAAGGCGCUUCCAACAUUCUAGACAAAGAUAAGGAUAAGUAUCUCCGCAAUCCUUGUUCCGUGGAGGGAAAAUAUGUCAUCAUAGAGCUUUCUGAAGAAACCUUGGUAGAUACCAUUGCAAUUGCAAAUUUUGAGCAUUACUCUUCUAAUUUAAAAGAAUUUGAAAUGCUGAGCAGUCUUAUUUAUCCCACAGAAAACUGGGAAACACUUGGGAGAUUCACUGUCGCAAAUGCGAAGCAUGCUCAGAGUUUCACAUUUCCCGAGCCAAAGUGGGCGAGGUACUUGAAGUUCAAUUUGCUAAGCCAUUAUGGUUCUGCAAGCUAUUGUACACUGAGUAUGCUUGAGGUGUACGGAAUGGAUGCUGUGGAAAAGAUGCUCAAGAACUUGAUUCCAGUUGAGAAUAGAAAUGCUGAAUCUGAUGACAAAUCGAAGGAGCCAAUUGAGCAACCACCUUUGAAGGAGCCUAGUGGUGGAAAAGACUCCUCACAGGAACCCCUUGAUGAAGAUGAAUUUGAGGUAGAAGAUGAUAAGCCAAAUGGAGAUUCAUCAAGGAAUGGUGUUCAUGAUCAGAUUGUAGAGACAAGGACACUUCAGGCUGGCAGAAUUCCUGGAGAUACAGUUCUCAAGAUACUGAUGCAGAAAGUCCAGUCUCUUGAUGUGAGCUUUUCUGUAUUGGAGCGGUACCUAGAGGAACUCAACAGCAGAUAUGGACAAAUUUUUAAGGAUUUCGAUUCUGAUAUUGAUAGCAAAGAUGCGCUCUUGGAGAAGAUAAAAUUGGAGUUGAAGGAGCUUCAGAGCAGCAAAAAUGACUUUGCGAGAGAUAUUGAAAGUAUCCUUUCAUGGAAGUCAGUUGCCUCCUCGCAGUUAGACCAACUUGUCCUGGAUAAUGUCAUACUCAGAUCUGAGUAUGAGCGAUUUAGGGAUAAGCAGGUUGACCUGGAGAAUAGGAGCUUUGUUGUUAUAUUCCUGUGUUUUAUUUUUGGAUGCCUAGCCAUAGCUAAAUUGUCCAUAGGUAUGAUAUUCAAUAUUUGUAGAUUAUAUGAUUGUGAAAAGUUGGAUAGGGUAAAAUCCGGAUGGCUUGUGCUGCUGCUGAGCAGCUGCAUUGUGGCCUCCAUUUUGGUAAUACAGUGA